AUGCAGACGCUGUGGUCCCUCCUCUGCCUUCUGGCAGCUCCCCUGGGGAAGAGUGUCCUGUCUCAACUUACACUUCAGGAGUCAGGCCCAGGACUGGUAAAGACCCUCUCUCUCAACUGUGUUGUCUCCGGAGGCUCUGUCACCAGCAGUUACUAUUGGAACUGGAGCCGCCAGCGCCCUGGGAGAGCAUUGGAGUGGAUGGGGUACUGGACAG